rnacentral:rRNA from 1 species
CCUACGGGGCGCAGCAGUGGGGAAUAUUGGGCAAUGGGCGCAAGCCUGACCCAGCAACGCCGCGUGAAGGAAGAAGGCCCUCGGGUUGUAAACUUCUUUUGUCAGGGACGAAGAAAGUGACGGUACCUGACGAAUAAGCCACGGCUAACUACGUGCCAGCAGCCGCGGUAAUACGUAGGUGGCAAGCGUUAUCCGGAUUUAUUGGGUUUAAAGGGUGCGCAGGCGGUCUGUUAAGUCAGCGGUCAAAGUCCGGGGCUCAACCCCGGCCCGCCGUUGAAACUGGCAGACUCGAGUUGGAGCGAAGG